GAUGAACGCUGGCGGCGUGCCUAAUACAUGCAAGUCGAGCGAACAGACGAGGAGCUUGCUCCUCUGACGUUAGCGGCGGACGGGUGAGUAACACGUGGAUAACCUACCUAUAAGACCGGGAUAACUUCGGGAAACCGGAGCUAAUACCGGAUAAUAUAUUGAACCGCAUGGUUCAAUAGUGAAAGACGGUUUUGCUGUCACUUAUAGAUGGAUCCGCGCCGCAUUAGCUAGUUGGUAAGGUAACGGCUUACCAAGGCAACGAUGCGUAGCCGACCUGAGAGCGUGAUCGGCCACACUGGAACUGAGACACGGUCCAGACUCCUACGGGAGGCAGCAGUAGGGAAUCUUCCGCAAUGGGCGAAAGCCUGACGGAGCAACGCCGCGUGAGUGAUGAAGGUCUUCGGAUCGUAAAACUCUGUUAUUAGGGAAGAACAAAUGUGUAAGUAACUAUGCACGUCUUGACGGUACCUAAUCAGAAAGCCACGGCUAACUACGUG
rnacentral:rRNA from 1 species